AUCCAGGAUCAGUGACUGAGCCGGGCUCAAAGAAUCCAAAACAACAGCGUCCAGGCUCAGUUGGUUGCACAAAGCCCAAUCCAGGAUGAGCAGACACGGAUUCAUCAAGCCAGGUGAAACCUAUCCUGGAUAAGUGCGCGCUCGCGGCUCCCUCAGAUAGACCCCGCCACCGAUCACAGAUUCACUGAUUCACCAUGGCGAGUAGAGCGGCUUACUUUACCCCGUCGGAGGGAGAAAUCCGGAUGGAGGCAUACGAGGAGGUGAAAGACAUUAUUAAAAAGAAAUGCAACACCGCCACAGUGAUAAAGCAAAGAGAAAACACGUGGCAAAGUAUUACUGACCGCCUGAAUGCGUAAGUAAACACAACUACACACUCACCGCUCCGCUGAAACAUCACAAUUACAAUCCAAAUAGUUAAUUCACAUUUCCAAAAACGCAGUUGUACUCUGAUUAUGAAUGAGUUGAAUUUUUAAUUGAAAUGGACUGUAGAUAUGACUGAAGUUGUGUAAAUAUAACUCCACCAGACUGUAUUAUUCUUUGAUAAAUAGAUGAGCUAAUAAAAGUAAUAACUUUAAUUUAUAUAGCGCCUUUCAAAGGACCCACGGUCACUUACUGACUUCAUUGGAUUUCCUUUUGGAAUAGAUACAUUUUCUCUUUUCUUAUAUUUAGGGUGUAUGUGUCUUCAUCUGUAAAAAAAAAAAAAAAAGAUAAACAAUAGCUACUCAAUAAAAUCGAGGCAACAAAUUGCACGCAAUAUUAUUAAUUAAAUCUAACUACAUUACAAGUUGAGUUAAUGAUUUAACAGGAAGUGCCUGUCAAUUAAAAACGGACUAAUUCUAUUGUGUUGAAUUCAUUCAAAAUUCUCUUGAUUUAGAAUUACAUCCACAUAAAGAUUAUAUUUAAUGUGAUCAAAAUAAGUAGAUUAUAUCUCAAACAUUUUUAUAUUAAAGUUACUUAAACAACUGCCUCAAAAUCAAGGACACAUUUAUAUUUAUUGCACUUGAUCAAAUAUAUUAAGUAAAAUGAAAUGACUACAGAAUAGUUUAUUACAGUGUCCUUCCCUGGCCACAGAAGACUCUGACAUCAAAGAGGAGUUCUAUAGGAUUGCAGGUGAGAAAAUCUAGAAAUUACAGGACAACUGUUACCAGUCAUAAUAGGAUACUCAUUACUUUGUGUUAAAGGUUUCCCCAAUGUCACUGGUGCACUGGACUGCACACACCUCAGCAUAAGAUCCCCCCUCAGGGGCCCAUGAGGUGGAUUUUGUGAAUGGGAAAUCAUUUCACAGCAUUAAUGUUCAGAUGGUCUGCAAUGCUGACUGUCUGAUCAACAGACAUGGACUGAGCCAGGCAGAAUGGCCUCAGUCCAUGACUCCAGAGUCUUUGGGACCUCUGAAACCUGUCAGCGCCUAUCACAAGGUGAAUUCUCUGGUGUGUUGCUGGGAGACAGGGGGUCUGUCUGCCAGCCUUUUCUCCUGACACCAUUCACAGACCCCCAGGACGCACAGCAGGCCUACAACCAUGCCCAUGCCAGGACCAGGACCAGGACCAGGACCAGGCCCAGAGUUGAGAUGACCUUUGGCCUCCUGAAGGCACGCUUUCAGUGUCUUCACUGUCCUCCACAAUGUGGCCUGCCUGAGGAAGGAGAGGGCCCCCAGAGUGCACCCAGCCAUGGACUGGGACAAUCCAGCAAUAUUCCCAGAUGACGACAGUGGUCCUCUCAUGAGGGAGCAAUAUGUGUUGAAUUAUUUUAGUUGAUAUGCAUACUUUCAAUUUAAGUUAAAUAUGUCCUGCAGUGGCAGAGGAAUUUGUUAUUUAUUUAUUUAUUUUUUAUUUAAAUUGAUUUGGCCUCUUAUGAUGAUUGUGCUGUAUACUGUGUGUAUACAAGCCUGCAGGGAGGCUACUGCAUAAUUUGUCUGUUCAUUCCAUGUGUAUGGAUUUGUCCUGCAUUUAUUUCAGUGUGCAGACAUGCAGGGUGUAUUAUAUUCAGACCUUUGAAUGUGUAUUUAUCCUUGUGUUGUAUAAUAUACUUUGACUCUGUGCUUUCUAUCUUGAAGAGUCACUGUGACUUCAGUUUUGAAAGGAGCCGAUGGUUUACCUGUUUUGAUUUAUCCUUAUUCAAUAAAGGAACAUAAUGUUA